CCAAUUGGCAAUCCUAUGGCUAGGAACGUUUUAGGAAUGAACAUAAGAGAAAGGUCUCGUUAAUAUAACUUACUUAAAUCACUUAUCUCUUAGAUCAAAUACAUUCCUUGGAUUCCCUUAUUGCUUAAACACAAGAUACAAUAAAUAGUGAUUAACAAUAAGCUUUGCCCUUCAUUAAACAUAUAAAAGUUUAAUACAAUAAGUAUUCCAAAAGCUAUUACAUCAAAUGACUGGCUUUGUGGGCAUACUUCCAACAAAAGGCACCGCUAAAUCUUGAAUCAAGCGAUUGUGGCUGAAGAAGAAAUACUCUUAACUUUGAGUUCUCCAACCUAAAGACAAAGUAUGCAAAUUGCUAUGAAGUUUUCGAUCUUGUACACCAUGUUUGGUAGCCUCGACUAUAUUAAUGAGAAUAUAGGUCUGCCGGAUCAGUAACAAACUACAUAGAUAAAGAUACUUAAAAAGAGAUGAUAAUCUUAAUCGUGAAAAAGGUUCGGCCAUCUGUAUGUCGAACUCUAAAUGUAACCUGAGAGUAACUAAUCAUACAACACCUCACUUUGCUGAAAAGGUUGAUGAAGUGACUUUUGCUAGAGAAGAAUCAAAGACUUUUCGGCGGCUGAGACUUUAAGAUAGCUAACCAUCCAUAUAUUAAUAGAGAAUCCUCGUUUGUCUAGCCGGUUGAAACUCCUAAGGUAAAAUAAAUCUACAGAUUCAGUUUCACUUGUUGCUUUUGGAAAAUCGCAUAUAUCCAGUGGAUCGUCGUCUGUCGACUAUCAACGCAAACCUGUCUAUCUAGUCAAAAUUUGGGCUAAACGGUCAGUAAAGUAGUUAGUUUAAACAAAAAGGUGUGAAAGGGUUUCGCGUAAAGUGUUGAUUUGUGUGUUGAGUUGAAGGUUCUCUCUAUGUUGCAAAUCAUCUUGUAUAUAUAGGGACAGACUUCUUGAUGCUUAAAUAGAGUUCUGAUACUACUACAUUCUUCCACCAAAACUAUAUCACUGCCAAGGCUCCUUUACUUCGUCUUAAACUAGUACUCUGAAUUUGGUCAUAUUACAUGAUGAAUUCAUUCAUUAUCAAACACCAAUCCUAAUACUUUGGUGAUUAAUCCAAAUCUUAUCACAAAUCCAUCUUGAUCCUACUUGGGUGGAUAUUUAAUAUUGGGCUUAAUGAGGAUGAAGGCCCAAGAACACAAAAAGCAAAGAGAAGAUUGGGCUUGGGCAAAUUGAUGGCCCGUAAAGAAUUAAAAACCAUUUUUGCAAGGAACAGACAACAAGCUUAUUUGAGAAGUGAUGGGCGACAGAAGGUAACUCACCUCCUGCAAAAAGCACUUUUCAAGGGCAUGGAUGGGUAAAUAAGUGGUGACUCACCACGUUCUAGAGGACAUCACCAAAAGGCAAAGCUUGGACAAUCGAGCUAAAAUGUCUAUAAAAGUAGCAUGGGACCCUAGAGACAAGGACAGAUCAAAAGACAUCCCAUUUUUCUCUCAAACAAGCAAGAAACCAGAAAGCUUUAGUUUGUCCAGACUCUAUUUGACACACCUCGACACGGAAUAUCCAUUAGGACUCCUAAUCAGGCUGUGCUGGCUGACACCUAGAAGGUGACGAAGCCAUAAAGUGUAGUGAUGUUGAAAAUGUGAAUAAAUUUAAACCUAAAAGUGCCUAAGUAUAAGAUUAUGUUGGUGAGUGGGAAUGAACCCAUUUCACACAUGAUGACAGAGUAUAAGUACAGUACAGUAAAUAGAGUGGAGAAUUAUACCAUUGAAGGUAAUCAUCUACAACAAGACUUGCCCAGAAUCCUCGUUUAUACGAAAGCUCAGCUACUAAAACCUAGAGGGGCGAAAAACAAGGGUGAGUGGGCCUAAAAAUAAAGUUUUAAUAAAAACCUUUGGGUAAAUUACGUAGUAGCCCCUCAGGUUUGAGGUCUAUUACAAUCCCAUACAACAUCUUUAAAACAUUUCACUUCCAUACCUCACGUACUAUUUUAUUUCAAAAUAAUACCUCCGUUAGAUUUUUCAUCCAUUGGUUUGUUAAAUGCUGACGUGGCUGCCACAUUAUGCUGAUGUGACUGCCACAUGGCAAAAAAACAAUUUUUUAUACAUUAAAAAUAUUAUAAAAUUAACGCUAUUAAAAUAAAAUUAAAAAAGAAAACCCCCGAACCCAGAUCCCCUUCC
rnacentral:lncRNA from 1 species